rnacentral:rRNA from 1 species
UACGUAGGGUGCAAGCGUUUGUCCGGAAUUAUUGGGCGUAAAGAGCUCGUAGGCGGUUUGUCGCGUCUGCCGUGAAAAUCCGGGGCUCAACUCCGGAUCUGCAGUGGGUACGGGCAGACUAGAGUGUGGUAGGGGAGACUGGAAUUCCUGGUGUAGCGGUGAAAAUGCGCAGAUAUCAGGAGGAACACUGAUGGCGAAGGCAGGUCUCUGGGCCAUAACUGACGCUGAGAAGCGAAAAGCAUGGGGGAGCGAACAGG